GUCCAUCUAGCUCAGUCAGUAGAACAUGAGACUCUUAAUUUCAGAGUCAUGGGUUUGAGCCCCACAUUGGGCA
rnacentral:tRNA from 1 species